GAACCCCAGCUCACCUCAAAUGAGCAUGGGAACGACCACGGCUCUGACUGCACUGCGGUUCUUCUGAGCUGGGAGGCCUGAACUGAAGAAAAGCUGAGCACCAAGCACUCAAGUUCAAGUUACUGCCUGGCAGGUGGUAAGCGAGUCCUGAUCCUGUACUAAAUGAUGCUUCAACAGACCUUCCUGCAGCCAUUCAAAUAAAAGGAAGCUCUUCUGCUUCAGUUUUGCAGAGAUCAGAAGCUUGACUGUUCUCACUGCCCACCAUCCAACCGGUUGGUUAUGGCCUUUAGCCUUGGAAGGUCCUUUUGCAACAUUUGGCCUUUAUUUUGAAUAUCCCAGAUAGCUCUGAAGCUUUACCAUUAUCCACUCAUUUUUCCAAAUCACUCAAGUACCGUGAACAGUACAUGCCUAAGGCUGACAGCACACUGUAUCCUGAAGAGAACCAGCAAGUGAAAAGUGAUGGAUACCAAAUUGCUGAUGUCACCAAGGAGGACUGGGUGAAUGCAAGGUCUUUUUGAAGUGUAUUACGCUAUCCUUCUGAUGUUGGUGUUAUUUUUUAAGUGCAAAAACAGCCGAGCUGACGCCAGUUAUCAGGAAGCACCAGAAUAAAACUGCACUCUGUGGUGCUGCUCCUAUCCAAGAGCAAGGAGCUCUGCUGAUGCAUCCUGCAGAGCAGAAGGAAUGAAUCCACUCAAUGGCUGAGUUUGACCCUGAGCAUGGAGAAUCAGUGCCAGACUGACUUCAUCCCAGAACUUCAGUGAGAUACAACCAACCUGUGUGCCCUGGGACCUUUGGCCCUCCUGGUAACUUGGGGAUUCUGCAAGAGUGCACUUAAGCUAGUGCUGAAACCCCACUGCAGGCAGGUCACGGGGAUUUGGCUGGAAAUAAUUAGAACUGUUCGUGAUGAUGGAUUUUUCUGAAACUUGCUGUAAUAACUGAAGAAACUCCUGCUUGGGGAACUUGAGGCACAACCAAAGCUGCAUUUAGUUCAAUGUGCUGCAAAUUAUUCCAAGCCCUGAUUCAGAAAUAUACUCAGAUUUUCUAUGACCUGACCUCCAAAACCUGGCAUCCAUAGGGCCACAGUGAGUACGUGUCUACAGCUGAUACAUAGGAUCAUAUUAUAUUUGCAGGAUUUCCAUUUUCAGAUGUGGUGCUACUUGUCUACAGUUGUCUGAGAGAAACAUUGAGGUUCAGUAGUUUUCUUCGAGCCCAGAAACUUUGGAACUUCAGACCUAUGGGCUAGUUGGGUUAUACAGCAUUGCAAAGAGGAUAUAGGGAGGAUGAAGGUCUCCUCCUUUCAUUCAUAAUCUUUGUUAACUGCCUUGUGUGGGCCUUAUUAAGGGGUAGUUACACUAUUCCCCAUAGCCAUAUAGACGAUGGCAAAGGUAGAUACUUUUUGAAGCACUAUACACUUUCAUCAGUUAUAUAUAUAUCAGUUUAAAUAGUGAGGGUGGCUAAUAAAUCCUUUGUUUCUGUUAGAAUUACACCACCAACUGUAGAUUUCUCAACUUUCCAAGGCCACUGGCAGUGGUGAUAGAGUGGCUUAUGGGAAGCAAAGAAUCUGAAAAUAAUGGAAAAUGUGGAAAGCAGCCAGUCUUCUUUUAUGAUGAAGAGGCUCUAAUAAAGACUAAAUGCUUCUCUGAAUUGUGGUUUCAAAAACUUCUUCAAACCAAUAAAGGGACUAAGAACACAUUUGAUUUAACCUUAAACACAAAUCCCUCAAU